rnacentral:rRNA from 1 species
UACGGAGGGGACUAGCGUUGUUCGGAAUUACUGGGCGUAAAGCGCGCGUAGGCGGAUUUGCAAGUCGGGGGUGAAAGCCCGAGGCUCAACCUCGGAACUGCCCUCGAUACUGCAAAUCUCGAGUCCGAGAGAGGUGAGUGGAAUUCCUAGUGUAGAGGUGAAAUUCGUAGAUAUUAGGAAGAACACCAGUGGCGAAGGCAGCUCUCUGGGACGGUACUGACGCUGAGACGCGAAAGCGUGGGGAGCGAACAGG